AACUUACCACAAUAAUAAAUGUUCACCACAGAAAAAUGUUACGAACAAAUAAGCAACCAUGCCGAAUAGUGGGGUCCAGAUUAUGCUCAUUCACAGCCAUAUUUACAUUUUUGCCAUCGUAACGAAGGUUUUUGCAAGAUAAUUUGUUUGAGUUUAUUUCAUGGUUAAAUGCUUUACGAUGGUUUAUUUAGUUAUUUGAAUCUGGAAGAAGUGUGCAAAUUUCCCUUGAGACGAUAAAUAACAGAUCGGGUUGGGAUUUUAUUCCAAUAAAAGUACGGAAUAACUAAACAUGGCCUCGUUAAUACUGCUGCGUAAUGGGUCAGGUGCUGUUCCAAUUUUAUGAUUUAAGAGAUGUAAAAGCGAUUCGCGAUGCUGUGAAGUACUCAAAUGUAUUUAUGAACUUAGUUGGUCGUGAAUGCGAGACAAAAUUUUAAAUUCAAUGACGUGCUUGUGGAAGGUGCACGUCGCAUUGCUAGAAUCAGCAAAGAAGCUGGUGUAGAACGUUUGAUUAUUUGUCUGCUUUAAACGCUAGUCCCAAACCAAUGAGCUUUGUGUUUGAAGGUGGAAGUAACUUUUUGAAGAGCAAAUACUCCGGUGAGCACAUUCGGAUGUUGUACGAGCUAUUGUCAAUUGCGAUUAGGAUACCGAUACUGCUGGUCAGCUUUAUUAAGCUGUUGUCAUUUUCGCUUUCUGCAACCCGUUUUGACCUCUCGCCACCCUUAUUCACCAGAGGUGGCCAUGAUGUUUUAUUGUGAACGUACACUUGAGGGGUAGGUUAAGGACUGUGAAUGGCUCUUUCUUCUAUUGUGAAUGGGACUUUCCCUACUCCUUUAUACCAUGAUUAUGACUUACGAUGGCAAACUGAUGGUAAUUGGUUUUUAAUUCACAAUAGUUUUUAGAAUCGUCAUUGCUUUAGAUCACAAU